rnacentral:lncRNA from 1 species
CAUUAUUGAUUGGAUAAAUGAAUAGUGUACAUAGGUCUUCAUAUCCACGUGUACAGUAUUAUCAUGUACAUUGUAGAUUUGUAUAAAUGAGUAGUGUACAUAGGUCUCAUCAUCCACGUGUACACUAUUCGAACUUACAUUGGAGAUUAUAUAAAUGAAAAGCAGUUUGUACAUCUCCAGUUUCAUAACCAAGUUUCAAAUAAAAACCAAAUACAAUAGCACUUGUGGUACAACAGUUCUCAAUAUGCACGAUUCCCCACCUGCCUCAUAACUCCUCCCAUUCAGAUCUUAGGUGGGCUAUGAAUAACACCAAUACACAUCUUAGGUCGGAGCCCGCUGCUGCUGCUCAUGAAAGGAUGUGGUGGAGGUGAAGGAGGUUGCUAUGGUGGAGAUGGAGGCUAUGAGGUGGUAGUGACGUCAUAACAUGAUCUGACGGCGGUGUUGCGUUUUGUUGCCGCCAUUGUUGUCCACCAUAAGGACCUCUAGCCGAGAAACAGAAGAACAUUCCAAAACUUAAAAUGGGACUCUUCAAAACUGCAGAAUCCCCACCCCC